rnacentral:ncRNA from 2 species
UUCUUAUCCAGAGCGGCGGAGGGACAGGCCCUAUGAAGCCCGGCAACCGGCUCAUCGAUUCUGAUGGGUGGCGCGGUGCCAAUUCCUACAAGAUUGUAGAAUCUUGACAGAUGAGAA